rnacentral:rRNA from 1 species
UUCGUAGGGUGCGAGCGUUAAUCGGAAUUACUGGGCGUAAAGCGUGCGCAGGCGGUUAUGUAAGACAGAGGUGAAAACCCCGGGCUCAACCUGGGAACUGCCUUUGUGACUGCAUGACUAGAGUACGGCAGAGGGGGAUGGAAUUCCGCGUGUAGCAGUGAAAUGCGUAGAUAUGCGGAGGAACACCGAUGGCGAAGGCAAUCCCCUGGGCCGGUACUGACGCUCAUGCACGAAAGCGUGGGGAGCAAACAGG